AUUCAAAUAGUUUAAAUAAAAAUGUUGACUUGUGGCGUCAGAGAUGUAUUUUUGUACUUUGAGUU
rnacentral:tRNA from 1 species